GCAUAUCAAUAAGCGGAGGAAAAGAAACCAACAGGGAUUGCCUCAGUAACGGCGAGUGAAGCGGCAACAGCUCAAAUUUGAAAUCUGGCCCCAGGCCCGAGUUGUAAUUUGCAGAGGAUGCUUUUGGUGCGGUGCCUUCCAAGUUCCCUAGAACGGGACGCCAGAGAGGGUGAGAGCCCCGUACAGUUGGACACCAAGCCUUUGUAAAGCUCCUUCGACGAGUCGAGUAGUUUGGGAAUGCUGCUCAAAAUGGGAGGUAUAUUUCUUCUAAAGCUAAAUACCGGCCAGAGACCGAUAGCGCACAAGUAGAGUGAUCGAAAGAUGAAAAGCACUUUGAAAAGAGGGUUAAACAGCACGUGAAAUUGUUAAAAGGGAAGCGCUUGUGACCAGACUUGCGUCCGGUGAAUCACCCAGCUCUCGCGGCUGGGGCACUUCGCCGGCUCAGGCCAGCAUCAGCUCGCUGUCGGGGACAAAAGCUUCAGGAACGUAGCUCUCUCCGGGGAGUGUUAUAGCCUGUUGCACAAUACCCUUCGGCGGGCUGAGGUACGCGCUCCGCAAGGAUGCUGGCAUAAUGGUCAUCAGCGACCCGUCUUGAAACACGGACC
rnacentral:rRNA from 1 species